rnacentral:tRNA from 1 species
UAGAAUGAAGCUCGUAGGAUGGAGCGCUUAGCUGUUAACUAAGAUGUUGCGGGGUCAAAGCCCGUCUUUCUAG